rnacentral:lncRNA from 1 species
GCACGUUCAUGUCCACGUUCUUCCCAGAAAGGCUGGAGACUUUCGCAGGAAUGAUAGCAUCUAUGAAGAGCUCCAGAAACAUGACAAAGAGGGAGUGGACUCCCCAGCCUCCUGGAGAUCAGAGGAGGAAAUGGCGGCAGAAGCUGCAGCUCUGAGGAUCUACUUUCAAUGACAGGCAUGAAAGUAACUCAAACAAAUCCCAAGGCAUAAGGAAAUGGGCCUCGUUCUCUAGGACUCUGCGGCAUUGGAAAUGAAGCUAAGCAGACUUUAUUACAUCCUACGAUUCUGCAACCUUUUGCGAAGCAUUUUAUUGCACUUGUGGAAGCUACCGGGGUUAUGUUUCAAUCAUGAUGACUGACAGGCUGGCUUCAAAACAAUGGCAUCCACAACCUUGCCACGCAUUUCUCUUCACGCU